UUUCUAAGUUUAUUUGAGUGAUGUGUUUGUGGGGAAUGGUUUAUCUUCUCUUAAAGUUGGUUGUCCUCUACUUGUUUGUAUUCAGGCAGCCAUUUAGUGAAACUUCGCAUUGCUUCAAACUGAUGCUCUUCACCGAUUUCAAAACGGCGCAGCCAAUUUUCAUCGAAAUCCUAAUCCGGUAUAACCCAUCAAUCCAAUUAUCAAGACUAGAAACCAGAACCGCUACGACCUCCCUGCAAUGUUCUAUCGGAGAAAGCUAUCUGAAACUUCUAAGGUUAUUUCCGUCGAAGCUCAACUAUUUGCUCUUGCCAAAAAGUAACAAGUGCCGAAGUGUGACGACUUAAACCUUGGAACUAAAUGCUCUGACCGCAACUGAAGGAAAACUUAAAUGGGCUCCCAGUGAAUUCCAUUCAUGGAAGAUGAAGAUCCAAGUUUGCUUCAAUCUCGAUAAUCGUGGAUCAUGUCGACUCUUCAUUCUGAAAUCCAAAUAGUAAACUAGAUGGUAAAUCUACAAGUACUGAAUUUACUAUUGCAUGCAUGAAUAAGACUGAAGUCGAUGUACCUAGCUUGUAUCGCGUCGUUUACGAGAUAAAUGAAAUGUAAAUUGAAGUUCUCAGCGAUUAGUUUGAUCUAGUUUUCUUCUUUAAGCUGUAGAUUAAAAAUUAACUUUAAUUAGAUAGUAAAUGGUCAUUAGCCUCUAUGCAGGGAACUUCAAUGCAUCUAUUAAUAGUGUUUUCGAAUCUUGUAAACUCCUUAAUUAAAUUUUCCGUCCUUAAAUUCGGAUGAAACGGACAAGACUUCCUCAAACUAGAUGUCCUGCAGAAUUUGGAGAUUAGGCUCGUAGGCGCUUAACUGUUUUGCCCGUAUGCCGUACGUGUAUGGAAUUUCGAUAGUUGUAAGCAAAAAUAAACCAUCCAGAACGAUUUUAAUUAAAUACAAGUUACUUAAAAUACAUAGAUAUGCGACGUAUUCAAUGGAUUUCUUUUGAAUCAAAAAGGUGUCAUUUUAUUAGAUAGUACAGAAAACAAAACAGUUGUUCGAUUCGGUGGAAAAUCGGUAUC